AUUGAACGCUGGCGGCAGGCCUAACACAUGCAAGUCGAACGAGUGGCGGACUGGUGAGUAAUGUCUGGGAAAAUGCCUGAUGGAGGGGGAUAACCACUGGAAACGGUAGCUAAUACCGCAUACCAUCGGAUGUGCCCAGAUGGGAUUAGCUAGUAGGUGGGGUAACGGCUCACCCAGGCGACGAUCCCUAGCUGGGCUGAGAGGAUGACCAGCCACACUGGAACUGCGACACGGUCCAGACUCCUGCGGGAGGCAGCAGUGGGGAAUAUUGCACAAUGGGCGCAAGCCUGAUGCAGCCCUGCCGCGUGUGUGAAGAAGGCCUUCGGGUUGUAAAGCCCUUUCAGCGGGGAGGCGUUACCGGCAGAAGAAGCACCGGCUAACUCCGUGCCAGCAGCCGCGGUAAUAC
rnacentral:rRNA from 1 species